GAGCCUACGGGGGGCAGCAGUGAGGAAUAUUGGUCAAUGGGCUUACGCCUGAACCAGCCAAGUCGCGUGAGGGAAGACUGCCCUAUGGGUUGUAAAACUCUUUUGUCAGGGAGCAAAGGGCGCCACGUGUGGCGCUUUGCGAGUACCUGAAGAAAAAGCAUCGGCUAACUCCGUGCCAGCAGCCGCGGUAAUACGGAGGAUGCGAGCGUUAUCCGGAUUUAUUGGGUUUAAAGGGUGCGCAGGCGGAAUGUCAAGUCAGCGGUAAAAUUUCGGGGC
rnacentral:rRNA from 1 species